UCUGGGUGUGGUGGCACAUGCCUGCAGCCCCAGCCACUCUGGAGGCUGAGGUGGGAGUAUUGUUUGAGCCCAGGAAUUCUGGGCUGUACUGCACUAUGCCAAUAGGGUAUCCACACUAAGUAUGGUGUCAAUAUGAUGAUUUCCCUGGAACAGGGGGCUAUAAAUUUAUCCUAAAGAGGAGUGAAGCAGCCCAGGGUGGAAACAGAGCAGGUCAAAACUCCCGUGCUAAUCAAAUGUGGAAUUGUGCCUGUGAAUAGCCACUGCACUCCGUCUAGGUGACAUAGUGAGACCCCAUAUCU
rnacentral:SRP_RNA from 1 species